rnacentral:rRNA from 1 species
UGGUUGCUCAAGAAAAGAAUUUUAGUUCUGUUUUAAAAAAUCUUAAGCACUUAAAGCACAUUUUUAAGAAUUAUUCAAUUAGGGUACAGCCUGAUUGAAAUAGGAUACAACCUGAAUUUUAGGAUAAUGAUUAAACUUAAAAAAGUCAAAGGCUAAGUUGGCUUAAAAGCAGCCAUCUUUUAAAAAGCGUCAAAGCUUAACCUUAAACUUACUUUUAUUUCAUCAACUUUUCAAAAUCCAUUAUUACUACUGAGCUAUUCUAUAAUAUUAUAGAAGAAUUAAUGUUAGGACUAGUAACAUAGAAUUAUUUCUCUUCCAUGUAAGUAAAAAUCAGUUCGAAUACUUCACCGAUAACUAAUCAGAUUUGAAUAUAGAGUAAUUUUGGAAUUUCCCAUGAAAAUACUACUUUUACUUCUGUUAAUCUUACACAAGAACAUGUAAGAAAGAUUUAAAGACCAAGAAGGAACUCGGCAAACACCAGUCUCGCCUGUUUACCAAAAACAUCGCCUUUUGAAAAUUAUAAAAGGUAACGCCUGCCCAGUGACAUCUGUUUAACGGCCGCGGUAUUCUGACCGUGCGAAGGUAGCGUAAUCACUUGUCUUUUAAAUAAAGACUAGUAUGAAUGGCAUCACGAAGACUUAACUGUCUCCUUAGUCCUAUCAGUGAAACUGAUCUUCCCGUGCAAAAGCGGGAAUAAAACCAUAAGACGAGAAGACCCUAUGGAGCUUAAAACUAAAACCUAGCUAUACUAUCUAUUAAAAUUAAUUAAUACUAUUUAUGAAUAGACUUAACCAAAGUUUUCAGUUGGGGUGACUGUGGAGAAAAACUAAUCCUCCAUGUAGAAUUAAGCUUUGAACUACCAUUCUUAGCAUUAGCAAGUCUAACUUUACUUGAUCCAAUAAUUUUGAUCAACGGACCAAGUUACCCUAGGGAUAACAGCGCAAUCCAUUUCAAGAGUCCAUAUCGACAAAUGGGUUUACGACCUCGAUGUUGGAUUAGGACACCCUAGUGGUGCAGCCGCUACUAAUGGUUCGUUUGUUCAACGAUUCAAGUCCU